rnacentral:rRNA from 1 species
GCGGACGGGUGAGUAAUGCCUAGGAAAUUGCCCUGAUGUGGGGGAUAACCWUUGGAAACGAUGGCUAAUACCGCAUAAUACCUWCGGGUCAAAGAGGGGGACCUUCGGGCCUCUCGCGUCAGGAUAUGCYUAGGUGGGAKUAGCUAGUUGGUGAGGUAAUGGCUCACCAAGGCGACGAUCCCUAGCUGGUCUGAGAGGAUGAUCAGCCACACUGGAACUGAKACACGGUCCAGACUCCUACGGGAGGCAGCRGUGGGGAAUAUUGCACAAUGGGCGCAAGCCUGAUGCAGCCAUGCYGCGUGUGUGAAGAAGGCCUUCGGGUUGUAAAGCACUUUCAGUCGUGAGGAAGGUAGUGKAGUUAAUAGCUGCAUUAUUUGACGUUAGCGACAGAAGAAGCACCGGCUAACUCCGUGCCAGCAGCYGCGGUAAUACGGAGGGUGCGAGCGUUAAUCGGAAUUACUGGGCGUAAAGCGCAUGCAGGUGGUUUGUUAAGUCAGAUGUGAAAGCCCGGGGCUCAACCUCGGAAUAGCAUUUGAAACUGGCAGACUAGAGUACUGUAGAGGGGGGUAGAAUUUCAGGUGUAGCGMUGAAAUGCGUAGAGAUCUGAAGGAAUACCGGUGGCGAAGGCGGCCCCCUGGACAGAUACUGACACUCAGAUGCGAAAGCGUGGGGAGCAAACAGGAUUAGAUACCCUGGUAGUCCACGCCGUAAACGAUGUCUACUUGGAGGUUGUGGCCUUGAGCCGUGG